rnacentral:rRNA from 1 species
CACUCCUGCGGGAGGCAGCAGUGGGGAAUUUUACGCAAUGGGGGAAACCCUGACGUAGCGACACCGCGUGAGCGAAGAAGCCCUUUGGGGUGUAAAGCUCUGUCAGCUGGAACGAAAACAAUGACGGUACCAGCAGAGGAAGCAUCGGCUAACUACGUGCCAGCAGCCGCGGUAAGACGUAGGAUGCGAGCGUUGUCCGGAUUUAUUGGGCGUAAAGAGUUCGUAGGUGGUUUGUUAAGUUUGGUGUUAAAGAUCGGGGCUCAACCCUGGGACUGCACUGAAUACUGGCAGACUCGAGUGUGGUAGAGGCUAGUGGAAUUCCCAGUGUAGCGGUGAAAUGCGUAGAUAUUGGGAAGAACACCGGUGGCGUAGGCGACUAGCUGGGCCAUAACUGACGCUGAGGAACGAAAGCCAGGGGAGCGAAUGGGAUUAGAAACCCCGGUAGUCCCAUGA